UACAGAGGUCCCAAGCGUUGUUCGGAUUCACUGGGCGUAAAGGGUGCGUAGGUGGCCAGGUAAGUCUGAUGUGAAAUCUCGGAGCUCAACUCCGAAACUGCAUUGGAUACUAUCUGGCUGGAGGGUCGGAGGGGGGACUGGAAUUCUCGGUGUAGCAGUGAAAUGCGUAGAUAUCGAGAGGAACACCAGUGGCGAAGGCGAGUCCCUGGACGACUCCUGACACUGAGGCACGAAAGCUAGGGGAGCAAACAGG
rnacentral:rRNA from 1 species